AGAGUUUGAUCCUGGCUCAGGAUGAACGCUGGCGGCGUGCUUAACACAUGCAAGUCGAACGGGAAAUAUUUCAUUGAGACUUCGGUGGAUUUGAUCUAUUUCUAGUGGCGGACGGGUGAGUAACGCGUGGGUAACCUGCCUUAUACAGGGGGAUAACAGUCAGGAAUGGCUGCUAAUACCGCAUAAGCGCACAGAGCUGCAUGGCUCAGUGUGAAAAACUCCGGUGGUAUAAGAUGGACCCGCGUUGGAUUAGCUAGUUGGUGGGGUAACGGCCCACCAAGGCGACGAUCCAUAGCCGGCCUGAGAGGGUGAACGGCCACAUUGGGACUGAGACACGGCCCAGACUCCUACGGGAGGCAGCAGUGGGGAAUAUUGCACAAUGGGGGAAACCCUGAUGCAGCGACGCCGCGUGAAGGAAGAAGUAUCUCGGUAUGUAAACUUCUAUCAGCAGGGAAGAUAGUGACGGUACCUGACUAAGAAGCCCCGGCUAACUACGUGCCAGCAGCCGCGGUAAUACGUAGGGGGCAAGCGUUAUCCGGAUUUACUGGGUGUAAAGGGAGCGUAGACGGUGUGGCAAGUCUGAUGUGAAAGGCAUGGGCUCAACCUGUGGACUGCAUUGGAAACUGUCAUACUUGAGUGCCGGAGGGGUAAGCGGAAUUCCUAGUGUAGCGGUGAAAUGCUUAGAUAUCACGAAGAACUCCGAUUGCGAAGGCAGCUCACUGGAGCGCAACUGACGCUGAAGCUCGAAAGUGCGGGUAUCGAACAGGAUUAGAUACCCUGGUAGUCCGCACGGUAAACGAUGGAUGCCCGCUGUUGGUCUGAACAGGUCAGCGGCCAAGCGAAAGCAUUAAGCAUCCCACCUGGGGAGUACGCCGGCAACGGUGAAACUCAAAGGAAUUGACGGGGGCCCGCACAAGCGGAGGAACAUGUGGUUUAAUUCGAUGAUACGCGAGGAACCUUACCCGGGCUUGAAUUGCAGAGGAAGGAUUUGGAGACAAUGACGCCCUUCGGGGUCUCUGUGAAGGUGCUGCAUGGUUGUCGUCAGCUCGUGCCGUGAGGUGUCGGCUUAAGUGCCAUAACGAGCGCAACCCCUCUCCUUAGUUGCCAUCAGGUUAAGCUGGGCACUCUGGGGACACUGCCACCGUAAGGUGUGAGGGAGGUGGGGAUGACGUCAAAUCAGCACGGCCCUUACGUCCGGGGCUACACACGUGUUACAAUGGCAGGUACAGAGAGACGGUUGUACGUAAGUACGAUCAAAUCCUUAAAGCCUGUCUCAGUUCGGACUGGGGUCUGCAACCCGACCCCACGAAGCUGGAUUCGCUAGUAAUCGCGCAUCAGCCAUGGCGCGGUGAAUACGUUCCCGGGCCUUGUACACACCGCCCGUCAAGCCAUGAAAGCCGGGGGCGCCUAAAGUCCGUGACCGUAAGGAGCGGCCUAGGGCGAAACUGGUAAUUGGGGCUAAGUCGUAACAAGGUA
rnacentral:rRNA from 1 species